GACGAACCGUGCGAACGUUAUUCGGAAUCACUGGGCUUAAAGCGCGUGUAGGCGGAUGAGCACGUCUGUCGCUGAAAUCCCCCGGCUCAACCGGGGAACGGGCGCGGAUACGGCUCGUCUCGAGGGGCGUAGGGGGACCUGGAACUUCCGGUGGAGCGGUGAAAUGCGUUGAGAUCGGAAGGAACGCCCGUGGCGAAAGCGAGGUCCUGGACGCCUACUGACGCUGAGACGCGAAAGCUAGGGGAGCGAACAGG
rnacentral:rRNA from 1 species